UGGGGAAUUUUGGACAAUGGGCGCAAGCCUGAUCCAGCCAUGCCGCGUGAGUGAAGAAGGCCUUCGGGUUGUAAAGCUCUUUCGGCGGGGACGAAACGGUUCGUGACAACACCACGGACUAAUGACGGUACCCGCAUAAGAAGCACCGGCUAACUACGUGCCAGCAGCCGCGGUAAUACGUAGGGUGCAGGCGUUAAUCGGAAUUACUGGGCGUAAAGCGUGCGCAGGCGGUUUGUUAAGACAGGUGUGAAAUCCCCGGGCUUAACCUGGGAAUUGCGCUUGUAACUGGCAGGCUAGAGUGUGGCAGAGGGGGGUGGAAUUCCACGUGUAGCAGUGAAAUGCGUAGAUAUGUGGAGGAACACCGAUGGCGAAGGCAAUCCCCUGGGCCUGCACUGACGCUCAUGCACGAAAGCGUGGGGAGCAAACAGGAUUAGAUACCCAAGUAGUCCCUGAGCGGGCUGGCAAGGCGCAU
rnacentral:rRNA from 1 species